UUCGUACUCACAUGUUUUUUAUUUCUAAAUCAAGAAAUACCAAUGCUCGGCCAGCAUCACGAUAAGAUCGAAUUUUUGGAACCAAGUUGCUUUUUGCGAAACAAGAGACCAUAAACCGAUGCCGCAGUGGCGCAACAUAAAACACCGUGAAGAUGGCAAACAACAAGCAACUAAAAGACUGCAUGCUGUGCCGCGACGAAAUGGUUGAAUCCACAGAUAAAGCGAUCUUUGCGUUUGGACAAGAGGCCACGCAAUAUGUUCCGGGUAAACCGGAUCGAGCUCUAUUAGAUUCAGGAUGAUUAUGAUGUCUCAUAACAUAAUGAAUGAAGGAUUGGCAAUCUGAUUCCUGAUGUCGUUUUACUAGCUUCAUGAAAUGCAUCAAUAUGUUUUCAUCGAAAGAUUGGCAAACUGAUUCCUGAUGUCGUUUUUCAAGCUUCAUGAAAUGCAUCAAUAUGUUUUAAUCGAAGGAUUGACAAUCUGAUUCCUGAUGUCGUUUUACUAGCUUCAUGAAAUGCAUCAAUAUGUUUUCAUCGAAAGAUUGGCAAACUGAUUCCUGAUGUCGUUUUUCAAGCUUCAUGAAAUGCAUCAAUAUGUUUUAAUCGAAGGAUUGGCAAACUGAUUCCUGAUGUCGUUUUACAAGCUUCAUGAAAUGCAUCAAUAUGUUUUAAUCGAAGGAUUGGCAAACUGAUUCCUGAUGUCGUUUUUCAAGCUUCAUGAAAUGCAUCAAUAUGUUUUAAUCGAAGGAUUGACAAUCUGAUUCCUGAUGUCGUUUUACUAGCUUCAUGAAAUGCAUCAAUAUGUUUUCAUCGAAAGAUUGGCAAACUGAUUCCUGAUGUCGUUUUUCAAGCUUCAUGAAAUGCAUCAAUAUGUUUUAAUCGAAGGAUUGGCAAACUGAUUCCUGAUGUCGUUUUUCAAGCUUCAUGAAAUGCAUCAAUAUGUUUUAAUCGAAGGAUUGACAAUCUGAUUCCUGAUGUCGUUUUACUAGCUUCAUGAAAUGCAUCAAUAUGUUUUCAUCGAAAGAUUGGCAAACUGAUUCCUGAUGUCGUUUUUCAAGCUUCAUGAAAUGCAUCAAUAUGUUUUAAUCGAAGGAUUGACAAUCUGAUUCCUGAUGUCGUUUUACUAGCUUCAUGAAAUGCAUCAAUAUGUUUUCAUCGAAAGAUUGGCAAACUGAUUCCUGAUGUCGUUUUUCAAGCUUCAUGAAAUGCAUCAAUAUGUUUUAAUCGAAGGAUUGGCAAACUGAUUCCUGAUGUCGUUUUACAAGCUUCAUGAAAUGCAUCAAUAUGUUUUAAUCGAAGGAUUAUCAAUCUGAUUCCUGAUGUCGUUUUACAAGCUUCAUAAAAUGCAUCAAUAUGUUUUCAUCGAAGGAUUGGCAAACUGAUUCCUGAUGUCGUUUUACAAGCUUCAUGAAAUGCAUCAAUAUGUUUUAAUCGAAGGAUUAUCAAUCUGAUUCCUGAUGUCGUUUUACAAGCUUCAUGAAAUGCAUCAAUAUGUUUUCAUCGAAGGAUUGGCAAACUGAUUCCUGAUGUCGUUUUACAAGCUUCAUGAAAUGCAUCAAUAUGUUUUAAUCGAAGGAUUAUCAAUCUGAUUCCUGAUGUCGUUUUACAAGCUUCAUGAAAUGCAUCAAUAUGUUUUCAUCGAAGGAUUGGCAAUCUGAUUCCUGAUGUCGUUUUACAAGCUUCAUGAAAUGCAUCAAUAUGUUUUCAUCGAAGGAUUGACAAUCUGAUUCCUGAUGUCGUUUUACAAGCUUCAUGAAAUGCAUCAAUAUGUUUUAAUCGAAGGAUUAUCAAUCUGAUUCCUGAUGUCGUUUUACAAGCUUCAUGAAAUGCAUCAAUAUGUUUUAAUCGAAGAUCUUCUGUGGGUCAUUGGAAUCGGGAAGACCAUCCUGUGGAUCGUCAUAGCCACAGUUGUUACAGCAUUGUGGACCGGUUCUCAGCGAUACACCUGACAAUUCUAAAGGCAUCACCAUCGAAUCAUGCUACAGCCUUUCACUAAUACUGUCUUAUCAAACAGCUUAAAGCCAGAUCUGAAAUACCACCCGCGUUCAAGUAUUUAAUUUCAUUUAGUUUAUUUAAUUUAAUUCGACGCAUCAAUAGGCUCCCUUGAAAACAACACAUGUAGACAGGCUUAGGAAGCAAUUGCGGGACAUACCGUGUUCUUAAAGAUAGCAAACGUAGUUAAACUAAUUAUACCAUAAGGUAGAACGGUUCUAAACGGGCAAAACGUGUGCGACGCUCUUUGAUGGCGAUUAGAUCGCGGGGACAAAGUCUUCUGGUUGGAGCGUAUAAAUUGAUUUAGGAUAGAAGAAAGGGAGAACCAAUACGUUACUUUAGCACAGGGGUAUCCAAACUUUCGCGGGUCGCAUUGCUUCGCAAAUAGCUAUGUUGAGGGUGAUUUGACGUUACCUUUUGCUUAUGAGCAAAUUUUAAAAUCUCGUUUUUAUACCAAAAUACUAACGAAACUUGUGCAGCUUUGCUCUAUUCAAUUGACAAUUGGCUAAUCUAGCUGUAUGGUAAACAUGAAUAAUUACCAAUGAAAAAAUAAAUGAAUAAAUAAAUGAAUUAAA